UACGGAGGUGCAAGCGUUAUCCGGAUUCACUGGGUUUAAAGGGUGCGUAGGCGGACAGGUAAGUCAGUGGUGAAAUCUCGAGGCUUAACCUCGAGCUGUCGGCGGAAACCAUCUGGCUAGAGUCCGGAAGAGGAGAAUGGAAUUCCCGGUGUAGCGGUGAAAUGCGCAGAUAUCGGGAAGAACACCCGUGGCGAAGGCGGUUCUCUGGGACGGUACUGACGCUGAGACGCGAAAGCGUGGGGAGCGAACAGG
rnacentral:rRNA from 1 species